rnacentral:rRNA from 1 species
UACGUAGGGGGCAAGCGUUGUCCGGAAUCAUUGGGCGUAAAGAGCGCGUAGGCGGCCCAGUAAGUCCGCUCUGAAAGUCAGAGGCUCAACCUCUGGAUGCGGGUGGAUACUGCUGGGCUAGAGUCCGGAAGAGGCGAGUGGAAUUCCUGGUGUAGCGGUGAAAUGCGCAGAUAUCAGGAGGAACACCGAUGGCGAAGGCAGCUCGCUGGGACGGUACUGACGCUGAGGCGCGAAAGCUAGGGGAGCAAACGGG